rnacentral:rRNA from 1 species
UGCCGCCCUGAAGGGCGUAUGGUGGAUGCCUUGGCAGACAGUACCGAUGAAGGACGUUUGAGGAUGCGAUAAGCCUCGGGGAGCCUCCAACAUGGCUUCGAUCCGAGGAUUUCCGAAUGGGGCAACCCGCCGGCCGUCAUGGGCCGGCACGGAACGUUUGUUCCGGGGGUACGCAGGGAAGUGAAACAUCUCAGUACCUGCAGGAAGGGAUACUCCGUGAGUAGUGGCGAGCGAAAGCGGAUCAGACCAAACCAUGGGCGCGUGAUACCCGUCGGGGGUUGCGUCCGUGGUGUUGAGGGAGCGUGUGUCCCGGUUCCGACGGACCGGGCGGGAGUCAUAAAACGGCUUGCCAGGGGAACAGGCUUGAAGGCCUGGCCGCAGAGGGUGCCAGCCCCGUACCUGGAAGCUUGCCGUCUUCCGAUCAUGCGUCCCAAGUAGCGCGGGCCUCGUGGAAUCCCGUGUGAAUCGGCCCCGACCGUGGGGUAAGUCUAAGCAUACCUGUCUGACCGAUAGCGUACCAGUACCGUGAGGGAAAGGUGAAAAGCACCCCGGGAGGGGAGUGAAAGAGUUCCUGAAACCGUGCGCCUACAAUCCGUCGGAGCCUCCGUUGAGUGGGGUGACGGCGUGCCUAUCGAAAAAUGAGUCUGCGAGUCAGUGGUGCGUGGCGAGGCUAACCCGUGGUGGGGGAGCCGUAGCGAAGGCGAGUCUCAAAAGGCGUUUUGAGUCGCGUGCCCUGGACCCGAAGCGGGAUGAUCUAGCCCUGGGCAGGUUGAAGCGCGGGUAAGACCGCGUGGAGGACCGAACCCACCUGGGUUGAAAACCGGGGGGAUGACCUGGGGCUAGGGGUGAAAGGCCAAUCAAAUUCCGUGAUAGCUGGUUCUCUCCGAAAUGCAUUUAGGUGCAGCGUCGGUUGAUUGCAUCGCGGGGGUAGAGCUACUGGAUGCUUGCGGGCCCGUGUCGGGUACCAAUAGCAGCCAAACUCCGAAUACCGUGGAUGUGUAUUCCGGCAGUGAGUCGGCGGGGGAUAAGCUCCGUCGUCGAGAGGGAGACAGCCCAGAUCGUCGUCUAAGGUCCCGAAGCGUGUGCUAAGUGGGAAAGGAUGUGGAGUCGCAUAGACAGCCAGGAGGUUGGCUCAGAAGCAGCCAUCCUUGAAAGAGUGCGUAACAGCUCACUGGUCUAGUGGUUCCGCGCCGACAAUGUAGCGGGGCUCAAGCACACCACCGAAGACGCGGCAGCAGUCCUUUGGCUGCUGGGUAGGAGAGCGUCCCGCGUGGGGCGAAGCGGCCGUGGAAACGUGCCGUGGACCGCGCGGGAGUGAGAAUGCAGACAUGAGUAGCGAGAGACGGGUGAGGAUCCCGUCCGCUGGAUGACCAAGGGUUCCGGGGCCACGUUCGUCGUCCCCGGGUGAGUCGGGUCCUAAGGCGAGGCCGACAGGCGUAGUCGAAUGGAUGAACGGGUGGAUAUUCCCGUACCGGCGGCGUACCGUAAGAGCCGAACGGAUGAGUACUAACCUCCGGUCGCGUGGCGUCGUUCCCUUCGGGGUUCGGGGUCGCGUGGCUGUUGGGAGCGUAGUCCUGGUAGGCUAGCGCACAGGGGUGACACGGAAUGGGAGCCGGCCGCGGAGGUGGUUUUCCGUGGUCAAGCACGCAGCCCGUCCCAUAGGCAAAUCCGUGGGGCAUGUAGGGUGAGGUGUGAUGAUGGGCGUCUUUUGUGGCGCGAUAUCCGGUGGUCCAGGCCGUCGAGAAAAGCCUCGGCGCGAGGGGCGUUGCCGCCCGUACCCCAAACCGACACUGGUGGUCAGGUAGAGAAUACCAAGGCGAUCGAGCGAAUCCUGGUCAAGGAACUCGGCAAAUCACUCCCGUGCCUUCGGUAUAAGGGAGACCCCCGGGCGUGAAGAGGCUUGCCCUCGGAGCGUUGGGGGGUGGCACAGACCAGGGGGUAGCGACUGUUUACCAAAAACACAGGUGCAUGCGAAGGCGCAAGCCGCUGUAUAUGCACUGACGCCUGCCCGGUGCCGGAAGGUUAAGAGGAUCCGUCAGCCCUCGGGUGAAGCGGUGAAUUCAAGCCCCGGUAAACGGCGGUGGUAACUAUAACCAUCCUAAGGUAGCGAAAUUCCUUGUCGGGUAAGUUCCGACCUGCACGAAUGGCGUAACGACUUCCCCACUGUCUCGACCAGGAGCUCGGCGAAAUUGCAGUACGAGUAAAGAUGCUCGUUACGGGCAGGGACGAAAGUCGGAGAUAGUGAUCCGGUGCCGGCGCACGGGCGCGGCAUCGCUCAACGGAUAAAAGGUACCCCGGGGAUAACAGGCUGAUCAUUCCCAAGAGUCCAUAUCGACGGGAUGGUUUGGCACCUCGAUGUCGGCUCGUCGCAUCCUGGGGCUGGAGCAGGUCCCAAGGGUUCGGCUGUUCGCCGAUUAAAGCGGCACGCGAGCUGGGUUCAGAACGUCGUGAGACAGUUUGGUCUCUAUCCUCUGCGCUCGUUGGAAUCCUGAGGAGGCCUGCCCAUAGUACGAGAGGACCUGGGUGGACGGACCUCUGGUAUGCCGGUUGUCGCGCCAGCGGCAUGGCCGGUUGGCUACGUUCGGGAGGGAUAACCGCUGAAAGCAUCUAAGCGGGAAGCCUGCUCCAAGAUUAGGAUUCCUUGACGCUUUUCGGAGCGUCCGAAGCCCGCAUGUUGAACACGUGUUUGAUAGGCCGGAGGUGGAAGCCCUGUGAGGGGUGGAGCCGACCGGUACUAACGGGCGAACGCGGCACAC